GCACAAGCGGUGGAGCAUGUGGUUUAAUCGAAGCAACGCGAAGAACCUUACCAGGUCUUGACAUCCCGAUGCUAUUUCUAGAGAUAGAAAGUUACUUCGGUACAUCGGUGACAGGUGGUGCAUGGUUGUCGUCAGCUCGUGUCGUGAGAUGUUGGGUUAAGUCCCGCAACGAGCGCAACCCCUAUUGUUAGUUGCCAUCAUUCAGUUGGGCACUCUAGCGAGACUGCCGGUAAUAAACCGGAGGAAGGUGGGGAUGACGUCAAAUCAUCAUGCCCCUUAUGACCUGGGCUACACACGUGCUACAAUGGUUGGUACAACGAGUUGCGAGUCGGUGACGGCGAGCUAAUCUCUUAAAGCCAAUCUCAGUUCGGAUUGUAGGCUGCAACUCGCCUACAUGAAGUCGGAAUCGCUAGUAAUCGCGGAUCAGCACGCCGCGGUGAAUACGUUCCCGGGCCUU
rnacentral:rRNA from 1 species